rnacentral:rRNA from 1 species
GAUCAUGGCUCAGAUUGAACGCUGGCGGCAGGCCUAACACAUGCAAGUCGAGCGGCAUCGGGAAGGUAGCUUGCUAUCUUUGCCGGCGAGCGGCGGACGGGUGAGUAAAGUCUGGGGAUCUGCCUGAUGGAGGGGGAUAACUACUGGAAACGGUAGCUAAUACCGCAUGAUGUUACGCGACCAAAGCGGGGGACCUCCGGGCCUCGCGCCAUCAGAUGAACCCAGAUGGGAUUAGCUAGUAGGAGAGGUAAUGGCUCCCCUAGGCGACGAUCCCUAGCUGGUCUGAGAGGAUAACCAGCCACACUGGAACUGAGAGACGGUCCAGACUCCUACGGGAGGCAGCAGUGGGGAAUAUUGCACAAUGGGCGCAAAGCCUGAUGCAGCCAU